AGAGCGAACGCUGGCGGCAGGCCUAACACAUGCAAGUCGAGCGCCCGUAGCAAUACGGGAGCGGCAGACGGGAUAGUAACACGUGGGAACGCGCCCUUCGGUUCGGAAUAACUCAGGGAAACUUGAGCUAAUACCGAAUACGCCCUUACGGGGAAAGAUUUAUUGCCGAAGGAACGGCCCGCGUCCGAUUAGCUAGUUGGUGAGGUAAUGGCUCACCAGGGCGACGAUCGGUAGCUGGUCUGAGAGGACGAUCAGCCACACUGGGAUUGAGAACGGCCCAGACUCCUACGGGGGGCAGCAGUGAGGAAUUUUCCGCAAUGGACGCAAGUCUGACGGAGCAACGCCGCGUGCAGGAUGACGGCCUUCGGGUUGUAAACUGCUUUUCUGUGAGCGAGAACGGACGGUAUCACAGGAAUCAGCCCCGGCUAACUACGUGCCAGCAGCCGC
rnacentral:rRNA from 1 species